GAUGAACGCUGGCGGCGUGCCUAAUACAUGCAAGUCGAGCGAACAGAUGAGGAGCUUGCUCCUCUGACGUUAGCGGCGGACGGGUGAGUAACACGUGGAUAACCUACCUAUAAGACUGGGAUAACUUCGGGAAACCGGAGCUAAUACCGGAUAAUAUAUUGAACCGCAUGGUUCAAUAGUGAAAGACGGUUUUGCUGUCACUUAUAGAUGGAUCCGCGCCGCAUUAGCUAGUUGGUAAGGUAACGGCUUACCAAGGCAACGAUGCGUAGCCGACCUGAGAGGGUGAUCGGCCACACUGGAACUGAGACACGGUCCAGACUCCUACGGGAGGCAGCAGUAGGGAAUCUUCCGCAAUGGGCGAAAGCCUGACGGAGCAACGCCGCGUGAGUGAUGAAGGUCUUCGGAUCGUAAAACUCUGUUAUUAGGGAAGAACAAAUGUGUAAGUAACUAUGCACGUCUUGACGGUAGCUAAUCAGAAAGCCACGGCUAACUACGUG
rnacentral:rRNA from 1 species